AUCUAAACCAUCUUUUCUUACACAGUAACACUUUCUUCUCUCCCGCGCACACAGUCACACUCUUCCUCUUCCCUGCGAGUACUCGUUUUUGGAACCCUAGUCUACUGCAUUCGUUGUUCAAGCACAUUCUGUGAGAUUGGAAGCCAUUAACGUUGUUAUUGAUUACAAUGACCGGCGGCUGUACCUCCGCUGACCUCCAGUCGCGCCGUGCCACGCGACUCCCACUACCUACGAAUCAGGUGACUGAUUUACUUGGAAAGCAUUCUGAUCUUAUGGAUGAGUUUAAAGAUUUCUUAGAGCGUUCUUUAGUGGCUGAGAUUAAAGAAAUCAAAGAGAAGCUGCAGCAAGAGGAUCACAUUAUUCAGUCUAUUGCUGCUGAAACUAGACAGCCUCUAAUUCCACAUCUGGAAUUUGAAUAUUCGGAUGGUGGGAUUCAUGAAGACCUGUAUAAACUUGUUCGGUAUUCAUGUGAGGAGGUAUUCUCAGGCAAAGAAUUAUUAAAUAAGAUUAUGAGGCUCUGGAGUACCUUCUUGGAGCCGAUGCUUGGUGUUACUUCCCAAUCUCAUGGGACAGAAAGGGUUCAGGACAGGAAAGCACGGCAUAGUAGUCGCAAUUUUGCUGCAUCAAAUGUAGGAGGUCAUGGAAGCCCACACAGAGACUCUAUUUCAACAAAUUCAAGGUUACCAAAAUCUGACAAGAAUGAAGGUGAUGGUAGAGUCACUGAAGUGAAGAAUAUUCACUGGACUAGUGUAGCCUCCAAUGAUAAAGAAAAUGGGUCUGUUGGUGGUGAACUUGUUUGUAGACAUGAUCAAUUAAUGGAUAAAGGGCUGAAAAAAGUAGAAUGCAGAUAUAAAGCCUCUGGGUUGAGUAAACAAUUUGCCUCUGAUGAGCAAAGAGUUAUAAACAAUCCAUCUAUUGCAAUUCGAGGAGAAAACAGCUUGAACAGAACCAACUUAGAUGUGUCUCCAGGCUGUGUAUCUGCUCCAUCUCGACCUACUGAUGCUGAUGACUCUGUAGCCAAGUCUCAGACUGUUAAUUUACCAUUGGUGGAGGGAGGUGACAUUGCAGCUCCGGUAGCAGUGGCCAAUGGGGUAUCAGUUGAGAACAGUGAAGUCAAAAGCCAUGAAGAAUCUUCUGGGCCUUGCAAAGUCGAAAAAGAAGAGGGUGAAUUAUCACCAAAUGGUGACUCCGAGGAAGAUAACUUUGUUGCCUAUGGAGAUUCAAAUGCACAGUCAAUGGCUAAGUCAAAGCACAAUAUUGAAAGAAGGAAAUAUGAGUCCAGAGAUAGAGAGGAAGAAUGUGGUCCAGAGACUGGGGGUGAUAAUGAUGCAGAUGCUGAUGAUGAGGACAGUGAAAAUGUUUCUGAAGCUGGGGAAGAUGUCUCAGGCAGUGAGUCUGCUGGCGAUGAAUGCUUCCGGGAAGACCAUGAGGAGGAUGAUAUAGAACAUGAUGAUGUUGAUGGUAAGGCUGAGAGUGAAGGUGAAGCUGAGGGGAUGUGUGAUGCCCAAGGUGGAGGGGAUGGCUCAUCUUUGCCUUUGUCAGAGAGGUUCCUUUCGUCUGUGAAGCCUCUCACAAAGCAUGUAUCGGCAGUUUUAUUUCCUGAAGAAAUAGAGGAUUCAAGGGUGUUUUACGGGAAUGACGAUUUCUAUGUGCUUUUUAGGCUUCAUCAAAUUCUUUAUGAGAGGAUCUUAUCAGCGAAAACAAAUUCAAUGAGUGCUGAAAUGAAAUGGAAGGCAAAAGUUGCUAGUUCCCCUGAUCCUUAUUCAAGAUUUAUGAAUGCAUUGUACAACUUGCUUGAUGGAUCUGCUGAGAAUUCAAAGUUUGAAGAUAAGAGCCAAGCAAUAAAUGGAAACCAGUCUUUCACAUUGGAUAUAUUGAUAUAUAAAUUAAUCAGACAGCUUCAAACUGUUGCAACCGAUGACAAAGACAGUAAGCUUCUCCAAUUAUAUGAGUUUGAAAAGUCUCGGAAACCUGGAAAGUUAAAUGAGUCAGUAUAUCAUGCAAAUGCGCAUGUCAUCCUUCAUGAGGAGAAUAUAUAUCGUUUUCAAUGUUCGUCUACCCCCCCGCGACUAUCCAUCCAGCUCAUGGACUAUAUGAAUGAAAAGCCUGAGUUGUCUGCCGUUUCUAUUGAUCCGAAUUUUUCAUUUUAUCUGCACAAUGAUUUUCUGUCUGUCCUUCAUGACAAAAAGGAACCCCACUGCAUUUUACUGCAAAGGAACAAGGACAAAUAUGGGAAGUUAGAUGAUCUUUCUGCGAUAUGCUCUGCCAUGGAAGGUGUUAAAGUAAUUAAUGGAUUGGAAUGUAAAACUGUUUGCAACUCAUCCAAGGGAUAUGACAUUGCAGCUCUUGUACCAGUGGCCAAUGGGGUGUGCAGACAGUUACUUGGAAUUCUCAUUCCAUUUUUAUUCAUUGCACGUUGCAAUGGGGAAGACGCAGACGAACCAUCGUCAUCAUCCUCUUGGUGUUUGAUUACUCUCUUAGUUAUUGUAGUUAUUUUUGUAGUCGUUGUUCUAAGAGAUUUAUCUGCACCCACAGACCCCAUGCCUCCAAUAGGCCCAAUCCCAAUGGAAGGAUUCGAAAGCUUAGGAACACAGUAUGACCCAAUUGCAGAGGGAAGAAGUGGUACUGUGUAUAAGGGCACAUUUGGUACACGCCCUGCUGCUAUUAAGAGGGUUGUCAAUAGGAGCAUCGCAAAAAAUGAAAUUCAAGCUCUCCUGAAGACCAGAAGGGGAAAUUGUCCUAACAUCAUCAAGUACUUUACUCAUGAAUGGACCUUGGAGGCUCGGUACAUAGCUAUGGAACGAUGUGGCUGCACACUUGGCGACUUCAUUUAUUAUUUUUCUGAUACGCCUUUUCACCCGGCCAUCAGUAAUACGUCUUUGCAAUUUUUGAAUCUGGUCGAGAGAGAUAAAAGUCCAGUUCUGUUGAGGCCUCGAAGAGCUCCUUCUCCACUGUUGCUGAGUUUGAUGAAGCAAAUAGUCGAUGGACUGUCUGAAUUGCACCAUGAGGGCAUCGUCCAUAGGGAUUUAAAGCCUAACAGUAUCCUCGUAACCAGAAAUCCCUCAUUGCGGGUGAAAAUUGCCGGAAUGAGCAAUUGUAAAUUGCUUCAUCACAUUGGAUCUUUCAUAGGGUCUAAUGUUGUUGGACGUGGCACUUCUGGGUGGCAGCCGCGAGAAGUUAUAAACGGGGAACCCCAAACAUGUGCUGUGGACACUUUUAGUUUGGGUUGUGUGUUGUAUUUCUGCAUGUCUGGUGGGUAUCAUCCAUUUGGUAUUCAUGAUCGUGAAGCAAAUAUUCUAAGCGGUACCACAAAUCUUACCAGAGUCUCUCCUAUAGCCCAAGAUUUGAUAUCUAAAUUGGUAGAAGAUAUUCCUAGCACAAGGCUGAAUCUAAAUGAAGUUCUGUUACAUCCUUUGUUUUGGGAUACCCGUAAAAAAUUAGAUUUUCUUCAGGAAGUCUACGAGCAUUUGAAAAUUUGUGCGUACUCUAAUAUAGUUGUAACUGACUGUGAUGCCAUUGAUGUGGGCACUGAUUGGUCUGUUCAGCUGUCCACAUUUGUACGUGAUUAUCUCCGUAAUAGAAAUUAUGUUUUUCAAAGUCCUGUCGAGCUGCUUAAGGCAAUAAGAAACCUGUCUAUUCAUCUUCCAAGUCUGCCUUCAAAUAUCAAGACUAUGCUUGGACCUACCCGACAUGAUUUUUACGGGUACUUUGACAGUAGAUAUCCAUAUUUCUUCAUUAAUGUUUACAAGGUGAUCUCCUAUCAUUGGAGUACAAGGGCAGAAUUUGGAACAUAUUUUAGGGACGAGUCAGACCUCUAGCUUUUACCAGUUACUGCAGGUGGCUUGUGUUUUCUUUUGCUGCGUCUUGUGCUUUAUUGAAGGGAGUAGGCCAUUGCAGUAUUGUGAUUCUAUUUUUUGGAGGAGAGACAUCACUGAUUUUUACUGGUGCUAAUAGUAUAUCAGUAUAUUGGUUUGAUGGUUAUAAACUGGAUGGUGCUGUUUUGAUGUCAUUAUGGUGCUGUUUGCUGGUUUCUGUUGCUGUUUUGCUGUUUUCCGGGUGCUGUUUGCUGGUCUCUGUUGCUGUUUUCCUGGUGCUGUUUGCUGUUGCUGGUUGCUGUCUUCGCUGUUUUACUGGUGCAGAUUGGGCUGCAUUUGUUUUACAGACUUAGCUUUUAUUUUCAUGCUAUUGCUGCAUCAACUCCCAAUAGACAAGUUGUGAUUUGUAAUUGAGAGUUUGUGAGCUUCUAAGAGGAA